rnacentral:rRNA from 1 species
GUACCUACGGGAGGCAGCAGUGGGGAAUAUUGCACAAUGGGGGGAACCCUGAUGCAGCGACGCCGCGUGAGUGAAGAAGUAUUUCGGUAUGUAAAGCUCUAUCAGCAGGGAAGAAGAUGACGGUACCUGACUAAGAAGCCCCGGCUAACUACGUGCCAGCAGCCGCGGUAAUACGUAGGGGGCAAGCGUUAUCCGGAUUUACUGGGUGUAAAGGGAGCGUAGACGGCAGGGCAAGUCUGGAGUGAAGGCCCGUGGCUCAACCGCGGAACUGCUUUGGAAACUGUAUAGCUUGAGUACUGGAGAGG